UGUCACAGGGUUCCAGGGAGGAGUGGCUAAGUGACAUCCUGCCCAAGAUUGCUGAAGUGCUGAAACUCCAAGACAUUUCCUCCAUACAGCUGGAGAUAGUGACUCUGAGUCAAGCUUACCCUGAUCUCAGUGAAUUCCAGGUGUCCGCCCUGCUUAGCCUCAAAUCCAACCUUUCUGCCUCUGCCGUGACGAGGGUAAAGAAGACCCUUCUGGACAACCAGGACACCACCAGCUCCCAGGAUGCCCCAUCUUUUUUCUCCAAGGUACAGGUCAAAUGAGUGUUGAAUACUGUUAAUGAAUCAAGUCUGCAAUGCUCUUGUAAGGAAAGUACCCUAAAGAGGGGACUAGCGUGGUUCUGGUUCCGGUUCUGACCGAAAUGUUCGCUUAUAAAUUGUUCUGUGGACACCAUAGAUUGAAAUAGCAUGCAUUCAGCGAUAGCCCUAGAUCUCACGGACUCGGGAGUAUAUAUCUUCCACAUGUGUACCUCAGGCUGUGAAAUCUGACAUCACUUGAAGCUGGGAUGUCCUGCCUACCAUUUCAUUCACUCUUCCAACUCUCCAUCAACUCCUGGCUGAACGCUACGUCACAGCCACUGACAAAGCACAUGCCUGCAAUCCUUAGUUCCUAGCGUAGCAGGAGAGAAUGGUUUCAUCACAUCCAGAACUUUAUCAAAGUCAUCAAAAAUAAUUCUGAGAUUUUAAAUAUAUGUUUUUUCUGUUUGUCAUAGACAGACAAGAUUAAUAUGAGAAGAAUGGCCAGUUCAUAAUGAGUAGAGAAUAUGCACAUUUUCUCUAACAUGAAACAUGUAUUUUACAGUUAUAAGGAAGUUGACAUUUUAUAGUUAGUCGUUUUAGAAUUUGAUUGUACUAUAUUUAGAAAGCGUAUACGUCAUUUCAAGCCUCAGUUUUGUUGAAUAGCAAAUACAUCAUAAAAUAUUUCAUAUGUGUAUCAUAUUUGUACUGUGUACUUGAGCGUGUGUCCUCGAAAGUAUUCUGCAUUACAAGUUAUUGUUUAUUGCCAUCUCAUGAUAAAUAAUUACUUGUGGGUACAUAGAUUAUAAUUUAGAUUACAUUUUCCCUUGAAUUGGUUAGUCAAUGACUAAAAGUCAUUGUUACCAUUCUGUCAAUGAAAAUGCAGAGUAUACACUCUAACCAAUUGUCUAGCCAACCAUUAUUUAUUUUGUGUAUCAGUUCCAGGUAAACGCUCACUUUACCAGUAAGCUACCUAUGACUUUGGAAGGAGGAAGGAAACCACAUUAACAGCCUUGUUGUUUACAGGAUAGGCAUUUCAAGUGAGUCAGGCUGCCAAUCAUUCCAGGUUAAUGUCUCUGUAUCCCUUGGAAGACUGUCAGUUUUAAUAAUAGGUUGUGAUAAGGAUUUAAGGGAAACACCAUUCUUUGAUGAUAAUAUCCCCUGGGAGACCAUUGUGGAAGCAUGUAGUGGAUGGUACCAUUCAAAUUGACUUUCUGAUUACUGUAUGUAUUGUGAAUUACUGUACAUUUUGGAAUUUCCAAUAUUCGAGUACUACUCUCUCUCUCACAAGCCAAAAAGACUGUUAGGGGAUUUCCAUUCUCAGCGGAAGCACAAUCACUGAUAGCCUUACUGCCGUUGUCUCCAUCUACAGGGCACUAUUGGUUCUAAGUCUUUCCAUUAGGUAUUUUUGAUGAGGAUUAAAACCACUUGACCUGAAAAUGAAAAACUUUAGGCAGUUUUAAUUCCAAUUUCUCUUUAAGACCGUAAAUAAUAACUUGCCAUAUAGUACCUUUUAAAAAGUUGACAAAGACAUGUAAACAGAGCUCCAAAUAUUGUGCAGUAGGGUGAGAAGUUGAGCGUCAUGUUGUUUAGAAUGAGGUCGUUAUUGUCCUCUACCUGAGACUUCCCAUACUCAGCAGCAAAAAAGGCAGCCAUACCAGGCUGCAGACCUGGUUUGGGACAGAAAAAUGGAGUACACCUCCUGGCUUGCCUCCAGAACCUCCCAGGUCUGUCUCUGUGACAGUCCUCCCGUCCAAUGCAGCAGGGUAGGCAGGUGCUCCAUAGUACUACAACAGAGGUAAACAUGUAUCAAUACAUAAAAUUGGAGAUAUCUAGCCUGUACUCAAGCUAUUCCCUAUGGAAUAAAAUUAGUCAGUGCUGUGGAUCAUGCAGACUUUGGAAACCCUGUGGCAUACUCAUCCGUGUGAAGUGGGGCUGUUUAACUUUGUACUAUAGCUUCUUACAGAUUUUAUGUUGUAUUUUGCAUGUUGAAUUAUUUAUUUAAUAAAAAGAGCUAUUCAUUACAUGUA